GAUACCGAGAGACCCUUCUCACCGCAUUGCUGAUUGCUUUACCUUACUGUGACACUGUCGCAACGAUUGACGAAACCAUAAUUGUCAGUUUCAACUUCCUUCCCACAAAAAACCUCUGACUUUGGUUGUUCGGAAGUUAUCAAUACUCAAUCAUCGAGUGAUUUCGAGGGUCCCAAGCUGCUUUGAUUUUUCUCCAGCAAUUUUGCUUUUGUGUAUAGUAUCAAGCAAACUUCAGAUGCUUGAAAAAGUUGCUUCACCCAAAUGCAAGA